rnacentral:rRNA from 1 species
GACGAACGCUGGCGGCGUGCUUAACACAUGCAAGUCGAACGAUGACGACCGAGCUUGCUCGGUCUGAUUAGUGGCGAACGGGUGAGUAACACGUGAGCAACCCGCCCUUCACUCUGGGAUAACCUCGGGAAAUCGGGGCUAAUACCGGAUAUGAGCUCCUGUCGCAUGGCGGGUGUUGGAAAGUUUUUCGGUGAAGGAUGGGCUCGCGGCCUAUCAGUUUGUUGGUGAGGUAGUGGCUCACCAAGGCGAUGACGGGUAGCCGGCCUGAGAGGGCGACCGGCCACACUGGGACUGAGACACGGCCCAGACUCCUACGGGAGGCAGCAGUGGGGAAUAUUGCACAAUGGGCGAAAGCCUGAUGCAGCGACGCCGCGUGAGGGAUGACGGCCUUCGGGUUGUAAACCUCUUUCAGCAGGGAAGAAGCGAAAGUGACGGUACCUGCAGAAGAAGCGCCGGCUAACUACGUG